AGCGAACGCUGGCGGCAGGCUUAACACAUGCAAGUCGAGCGGGCAUCUUCGGAUGUCAGCGGCAGACGGGUGAGUAACGCGUGGGAACGUACCCUUCGGUUCGGAACAACUCUGGGAAACUGGAGCUAAUACCGGAUACGCCCUUAUGGGGAAAGGUUUACUGCCGAAGGAUCGGCCCGCGUCUGAUUAGCUAGUUGGUGGGGUAACGGCCUACCAAGGCGACGAUCAGUAGCUGGUCUGAGAGGAUGAGCAGCCACACUGGGACUGAGACACGGCCCAGACUCCUACGGGAGGCAGCAGUGGGGAAUAUUGGACAAUGGGCGCAAGCCUGAUCCAGCCAUGCCGCGUGAGUGAUGAAGGCCUUAGGGUUGUAAAGCUCUUUUGUCCGGGACGAUAAUGACGGUACCGGAAGAAUAAGCCCCGGCUAACUUCGUG
rnacentral:rRNA from 1 species